GCCGCGGUGGUGGAAUUGGCAGACACGCAUGAUUCAGGUUCAUGUGGGAGCAAUCCCUUGGAGGUUCAAGUCCUCUCCGCGGCA
rnacentral:tRNA from 2 species